AUGAACGCUAGCGGCAGGCUUAACACAUGCAAGUCGAGGGGCAGCAUGAGACGGAGAUUCGUCGAAGUCUUGAUGGCGACCGGCGCAAGGGUGCGUAACGCGUGAGCAACUUGCCCGUUUCUGGGGGAUAACCGGUGGAAACGCCGACUAAUACCCCAUAGUAUCACUUUUAGGCAUCUUUUAGUGAUUAAAGAAUUUCGGAAACGGAUAGGCUCGCGUGACAUUAGCUAGAUGGCGGGGUAACGGCCCACCAUGGCUACGAUGUCUAGGGGUUCUGAGAGGAAGGUCCCCCACACUGGAACUGAGACACGGUCCAGACUCCUACGGGAGGCAGCAGUGAGGAAUAUUGGUCAAUGGUCUGACGACUGAACCAGCCAUGCCGCGUGAAGGAGACGGCCCUAUGGGUCUUAAACUUCUUUUGUAAGGGAGCAAUAAGUCUCACGUGUGGGAUGAUGAGAGUACCUUACGAAUAAGCAUCGGCUAACUCCGUG
rnacentral:rRNA from 1 species